AUUGAACGCUGGCGGCAUGCUUUACACAUGCAAGUCGAACGGGGUGAGAGGGCAACUUCUCAUUCAGUGGCGAACGGGUGAGUAAUGCAUCGGAACGUACCCUGUAGUGGGGGAUAACGCCGGGAAACCGGCGCUAAUACCGCAUAUUUCUCUGUGGAGGAAAGCGGGGGACCGUGUUAGAGGGCCUCGCGCUAUGGGAGCGGCCGAUGUCCGAUUAGCUAGUUGGUGGGGAAUGGCCCACCAAGGCUGCGAUCGGUAGCUGGUCUGAGAGGAUGAUCAGCCACACUGGGACUGAGACACGGCCCAGACUCC
rnacentral:rRNA from 1 species